GAUGGAACUUGCACGGUGCAGAUAGGAACUUCAGUCCAGCCCCUCUGCUGUCCCCGACCCAAGCCAAAGAGGUCAAGUUCAAACGCUUCAGGGCCAUCUUCACCCAGGAGCAGCUCGCAAUCUUGGAGAGGGAGUUCAGGAAAAACCGCUACAUAGUCGGCCCUCAGAGGGUGUCCUUGGCUGCAGCCCUGGGCCUAACAGUACUGCAGGUGAAGGUGUGGUUUCAGAACAGGCGGAUCAAAUGGAAGAAGGACGCCGAGAAAACUCAAAGCGGUCAAGCAGCGUUCGACCAAGGUCCGACCGGGGACCCUCCAGGCAGCCGCUGAGGAGGGCCCAUCAUCCAAGGGACAGGCCAGCGAUCGCCCGGAGAAAGGGGAAGCGCCUGGGCCGCUGCGGAUAUCCGUCAUCUGUGGCUUUCCCUUCGACCAACUUCACCCUCCAGACUCACACCUUUUUCAAAAUAACUCGUUAGAUUUUUGUACAUAAGGAAAACAUAAGACUUGUUAAACAAGAUUGAUCGCCUUGUAAAUGUCUGGCUGGCUGUUAUGGAGCUCCGUUUUAUGGAGAUGCGGAUUGAUUUAACUUAAAUCACGAUUGAUCAGGAUCUCUUGUUCGCUUAUGAUUUGUUCUCCAGGUUUAAGGUUGAGAGUUCUUAUUUGGCGGCUUGCUCACCGAACCAGGGCUAUAGUUACCCUGACGCUUCGGUAUCAGUAGGUUUAAUUGGCGAUCAAUGUGUCGACAGUGUAUAACUCUGGCGGGAUCUGAAACGUCCUGCAGUAGUUAUCGCAUACAGGCUGGAGCUUAACCUGGGUGCAGUGUAAUUCCAGACAGAGUUAUCAGCAAGGAUCAGGGUUCUCUUCAUGGCAAAUCCAUGGAAAGUCAGCCUAUCGGUGAACUUUGUGGACCCACCGUCAGAGCCGGGCGGAGCAAGCAAAGGGAAUUGGAGAGGUGCUGCAGUGUCCUGAGAAAAUGACAGGGGAGGCAGGCCUGAGGGGGAAGUCCUGUUCCCCUGGUAGCUUAACAACAUUAGAAAAAAGAAAAGGCCACUCGGCUCCUGGAGCCUGUUCAACAAUUCAGUUGGAUAACGGCUGAUCUCAUAUAUCUGGAUCAUCCUACCUAAUAAAUUUCAGUCUUGAAAGUGCACUCUCAGAGGGCACAGGUUGUGCUGCAUGUGACCUUUGUGUUACUUGAC